rnacentral:rRNA from 1 species
AACUUUCGACAACGGAUCUCUUGGCUCUCGCAUCGAUGAAGAACGCAGCGAAAUGCGAUAAGUAAUGUGAAUUGCAGAAUUCAGUGAAUCAUCGAAUCUUUGAACGCACCUUGCGCCCUUUGGUAUUCCGAGGGGCAUGCCUGUUUGAGUGUCAU